rnacentral:tRNA from 1 species
AGCUCGGUAGCUUACUUGGUAAAGCGCUCGUCUAGCAUACAAGAGUUUUGGGUUCAAACACCAGCCGAGCAC